rnacentral:antisense_RNA from 1 species
CAGUUCGGUGGCUCAGGCAGGGCAACCGCAAGGUUGGCCGGUGAUUGAAGGGCCGGAGUUCCAAACCUGUCUGGGCCACCACCAAA